AAAAUGAAUAAAGAGAGCAUGUGCUUCUCACAUGCUUGAAGAAGCCAAGUAUAUAUAUAGAUAGGAGAGGUCAUCUUUUUAAAUCAAGAAGUUGUAGAGAAAGGAAAAAAAAAUAUAGAAGAAGAAGAAAGAGGAGGGGCCAAUUCGGCCAAGAAGGAGGAGAAAGAGAAGACCAAAAAUCUUGCCCCAAAAAUUUAUUUCUCAUAGUAUUUCUACUAAUUCAAAGAUGCUCUCCAACAUGGUAUAAUUGUUGAAGCAAGAGAAUUAUUCUUUGGUGCAAAACUCCAACCUUAGCUAAGUUGAGAAGUUGUGAAGGAAAGAUUUUGGUGAAUUUGGAGCUUGAGUUUGGAGAAGCAAAAGGAGCGGAAAAGGUACUCCCAGAUGAUUAGAAGACCUUACUAAAGAUGUUCCAGCGGAGAUGGC